AACGAACGCUGGCGGCAUGCCUAACACAUGCAAGUCGAACGAAGCCUUCGGGCUUAGUGGCGCACGGGUGCGUAACACGUGGGAAUCUGCCCUUUGGUUCGGAAUAACAGUUAGAAAUGACUGCUAAUACCGGAUAAUGACGUAAGUCCAAAGAUUUAUCGCCGAAGGAUGAGCCCGCGUAGGAUUAGGUAGUUGGUGGGGUAAUGGCCCACCAAGCCGACGAUCCUUAGCUGGUCUGAGGGGAUGAUCAGCCACACUGGGACUGAGACACGGCCCAGACUCCUACGGGAGGCAGCAGUGGGGAAUAUUGGACAAUGGGCGAAAGCCUGAUCCAGCAAUGCCGCGUGAGUGAUGAAGGCCUUAGGGUUGUAAAGCUCUUUUACCAGGGAUGAUAAUGACAGUACCUGGAGAAUAAGCUCCGGCUAACUCCGUGCCAGCAGCCGCGGUAAU
rnacentral:rRNA from 1 species